rnacentral:lncRNA from 1 species
ACCGGUAAUAAUUUUUAUAGCGUAAAAGCUAAAUAAAUUGAUACAUACUGUAAUACAGAUAAUCAAAGUAUAAAAUUUAAUUUACAGUGACACAUGGGCUCACGAACGACCAAAAGUAUUAAAAGCAGUAAACCUACAGUUUUUGAGGAUGCAAGUCCAAUUGUAGCCCUCAACAAAGUGAGCUAUCUACCGACUAUCCUAAGCCUGAAAGGGGUGGAAAGGAGGGUGGUGAGAUUAUAUAAUCCCAGUGAGUAAACAAAUACCAUCUAAAAUAUCUAAAGCUGAGUAAAUGGAGACAAAUAAAAUAAUUUAACAUACUGUAAUUCAUCACCUUUCAACUCAUUUCAACCAAAUAAAAUCAAAUCAUAUAAAUCGAGUAAUCAACAUGGCUUAUGAGUUUCUUAAAACUUUGGCUCAUGCCAAAAUCAUUCUCAUACUCAGUUAUUAGGGAUACCUUGGCCGAGGGCUAUCCCAACUAAGAUCGCCAAGGCUGUUAAAAAGCUAUGUAUGCAUAAAUCGUGUUUUUAUUUUGAAAAUAUAGCCGUUCCUUGGCGUUGGCUGAGUUCACCCUCACGUGGUGGUUGAGCGUGAAGUGAACUCUAAAGUGUUAACCUUAGGAGUUAUCCCUCCAUGCCUCUCACUGAGGUAUGAAUAUAAUAGGAUUACCGUGCCCCUCUAAUAGGCUGGUUCACGGAACCCGUCCACUGCAGCGACUAAACCCACCAUACAAUAAAAUUUGUAAUAGCAUGACAUGGCAAUUAUUUUAUUUUACAGCCUCUCAAGGCAAAUUAACAGUUCAUAUAUUUUCAACACAUUUACCAAAUCAACCAUGCAUGCCAAUAUUUUCAUAAGCCAUUCAUGUCAAAUCAUGAUUUAUAACACAGCAAUUAGUCUCCAAUUACUCCAUUUUCCAAAACCAUCAUUCAAUUUCAAGACAAUUUUAUAAAAUCAUUUCAUUUAAUCACAUUUUGCUUAUAAAACAUAAAUAUUUGCCAUUUAAACUCAUUUUCCAUAAAAUCACAAAAUCGGAUAAAAACCACUUUAGAUAAUUAAGACGAUAGUAAGGUUACUCAAUAUUUCAAGAGUCGAAUUCCAAGUACUCUGAUUCUUGAUCCUCGAGUACUAUCUCUUUACUUUUGCCAGAAUGCUCACCACCUAGAUAUAAUGCACAAUAAGCCAUUUACUACAUUGUGCUAAAUUGUUAUAAAACCAAUUCAAGCUUUAUACUAAUGAAUGAAAUGGGAUGCAAAUUCUUCGGAUUAUCACCUAAACACGGUGUUCUACACAAAUUCAAUUGUGUACCUAAAUAAAACGGUAUUGGCCUAAUUCGAUCUAUCUCUUGAUUAAUUGGCCAAUAUGUCCAAUUUAACUCCAAAUAAAUUUCAUUUUUCUCCCAAUACUCCAAAUCAUCAAACACAAGUCAAAUAGCAUAAAAUCUAGCAAAAUCAUUCACAUUUUCUCUUGGAAAAUUUGGCCAAUGAAGAAUCCAUGAAGAACAUGUGAUUUUUCUUACUUGUUUUCCUUCCAAACAUGAUAAAUCAACUAUAAACACUAAAAUAACUCAAAAUUUAACCAAAUAAAUCAUCAAAUCUUCUCUCUAAAUUCGGUCAGCCAUGAAUCCUUCAUGAUAUCUUGUGAUUCAACCAUCGAAAAUGCAAAAUAAUGCAUGGGAAAGACAGAUCACAAGUCAAAAUCAAGAAAUUUUACCUUUGAUUGCUUGAUUACUUGAAUUUUCACACUUUUCCCUUGAAUUUUUCCACCUAGGGUUUGUGUUCUUCUUUUCUUCCUUUGUUCUUGCUUUGGCCAGCCAUAUGAAGAG